UGCAGGGCAUGAACAGUCCUCAGUUCCCUGAUCAGGUCCGCGUGGUUCUGCUUGUUCUUAAACAUCUGAAACACAGCAAAGGGAGACGACAUAGUGAUGUCCUCCCAAACUGGACCUCUGGCAAACCUUUUGCAGAGACGUAUGAGCUGGUCAAGACAAAGCUGAACAAACAGGACUGCUGUUACUCAGAGUCAGAAGCCAUGUCUGACCUCUGCCGACUCCUCCACGCUCGGGGUGAGGGGACGUGGAACAGCUUUUGGCUUCUUAACGAGGAAACGCAAGGACCUGGCUCGCUCGUUCUCCUCUUCCCUCAGGGCCUGCGGAGCCGCACUUGUUAAUCCAUGUGUACUUAGAACUUUAAUAAUAUGCCUAAAGAACACAUUCUCAUCUUCCUCACCUUAUAUUUCUUUAUCAGAUCUAUUGCUUCAUUUGCACGGGGUUUAACCACAUCCCUGGCGGGGAUGUGGUUAAACCCCGUGGGUUUGGGACCCUUCACACUGGGCCGUAGGACUGAGGCACUUAGACCUGCUUCCAGCUCCAGCAGCCCUGUUGUCAGCAAAGGUCAAAGGUUGUCGCGUAAAUAAACACACUUGCUUCCAAACUGACUAAACUAUCAGUUUCAGACCUUCGUAUGUGUCCAGGUAGUGACUAUUUAACUCUUGCUUUCUAUGGGUACUCUUCUUCGUCUGGGAGACGUGGGCCUGAGGUUCUGUUAUGUCUCUGCCACGUCGCUCUAGUUUCUCCUCCACAUUUCUCCUCUUGGUUUGCAGUUUCCUCAAAGCUAACAGCAAAACAAUACAAAUGAAAACAUGCAUGAGAGGGAAUUAACUUAUUAUAAUAAAGAAUAUGUCAGACAGUCUUA